rnacentral:rRNA from 1 species
GGUUAAGUUAGAAAGGGCGCACGGUGGAUGCCUUGGCACUAGGAGCCGAUGAAGGACGGGACAAACACCGAUAUGCUUCGGGGAGCUGUAAGUAAGCGUGGAUCCGGAGAUUUCCGAAUGGGGAAACCCCCUGUCCGUAAUGGGGCAGGAUCCAUACCUGAAUCCAUAGGGUAUGGAGGGCAGACCCGGGGAACUGAAACAUCUAAGUACCCGGAGGAGAAGAAAGCAAACGCGAUUCCCUGAGUAGCGGCGAGCGAAAAGGGAGAAGCCCAAACCAAGAGGCGUGCCUCUUGGGGUUGUAGGACACUCAACAUGGAGUGAGAAAGGAACGGAGUAGACGAAGCGGUCUGGAAAGGCCCGCCAGAGGAGGUAACAGCCCUGUAGUCGAAACUUCGUUCCCUCCUGAGUGGAUCCUGAGUACGGCGGGACACGAGGAAUCCCGUCGGAAGCAGGGAGGACCAUCUCCCAAGGCUAAAUACUCCCUAGUGACCGAUAGUGAACCAGUACCGUGAGGGAAAGGUGAAAAGCACCCCGGGAGGGGAGUGAAAGAGAACCUGAAACCGUGUGCCUACAAGUAGUCAGAGCCCAUUCAUGGGUGAUGGCGUGCCUUUUGUAGAAUGAACCGGCGAGUUACGAUGA